rnacentral:lncRNA from 7 species
GGAAUCAGAGAAGGCAGCUGCAGAGGGUCUCAGACACCAUUUCUGGUAAGCAACCUUUUGCUUUGGAAUUCACAUCCUUGCUCCAUCAAACAAGAUGCAAUCAAAAGAUCAGGCUGACCAGCUCUACCCACUCCAUGGAUACCGAGUUAGAAAGAGAAUGGGUCUUUUCAUCACCUGUAAAAACUCUUCAAGAUGACAGAAACCUUUACGAAGGAUCUAGCUGAAACGUACUGGGAAGCAUGGGGUAUGCUGUGCCCACACCUUUAUACUUCGGCAGCUAACCGCUGGAUUCUGCUUUUGUUCACUUCCAGCUGGCAUCUCCCAUGCACUUGGCCUUCCUUCACAAACACUGUGCACCCCGGUUCAUCCCAGAGGACAGAUUCAGCAAAGACUGGCAACCCGCACUCCCCAGAUUUGCUGUCACUGACAAGGGCUUCAGGCGAUCCAGAAAUGGCUUACUGCAAUAGAACACCAGGCUGUGCAUGAGCAAGGAUCCAGAUCAGAUCUAACAGAUUUCUCCAGCUCAUUCCUUCAGUGAGCCAACACACAAACAACAGCUCCGCAAGUUGCAUAGCCAGCCAUGCAUGCACAUUGUUUUUCUCCCCUACUUUCCAUAUUUAAAAAAAUCAAUUUAUGCAUCAGUGAAGUGCAUUCACCUAUGGGAUGAAAUGGAGCAUCUGCUUAACAGCAUAUAGUAGCAGUCCGUGACAGUAAGCGAUUAGCACAUCCAACUGAAAUCACAAAGUGUUUUAGAAUCAUUUAGUAAUUAUCUGAGCCAGAACUUGGCCAGAAAACCACAAUUAAAUGCUUAUCAUCUUAAAAAAAAAUAAACAAGUAAAACUCAACCACCUGCUCUCCCUCCCUAUCCUCCCACAAAGAUACAUAAUAAAUUAUUGAGGUCCAG